CCUACGGGUGGCAGCAGUGAGGAAUAUUGGUCAAUGGGCGUAAGCCUGAACCAGCCAAGUCGCGUGAGGGAUGAAGGUUCUAUGGAUCGUAAACCUCUUUUAUAAGGGAAUAAAGUGUGGGACGUGUCCUAUUUUGUAUGUACCUUAUGAAUAAGGAUCGGCUAACUCCGUGCCAGCAGCCGCGGUAAUACGGAGGAUCCGAGCGUUAUCCGGAUUUAUUGGGUUUAAAGGGUGCGUAGGCGGCCUUUUAAGUCAGCGGUGAAAGUCUGUGGCUCAACCUGUGUAUGGCACUUGAUACUUGCAAGCUGGAAUGCGGUAGAGGUAAAGGGAAUUCCUGGUGUAGCGGUGAAAUGCUUAGAUAUCAGGAGGAACAUCGGUGGCGUAAGCGCUUUACUGGGCCGUAAUUGACGCUGAGGAACGAAAGCCAGGGUAGCAAAUGGGAUUAGAUACCCGUGUAGUC
rnacentral:rRNA from 1 species